AGAACGAACGCUGGCGGCAGGCCUAACGCAUGCAAGUCGAACGUGAAGCCACCUUCGGGUGGUGGAAAGUGGCAGACGGGUGAGUAACGCGUGGGAAUCUACCCAAUGGUACGGAAUAACUCAGGGAAACUUGAGCUAAUACCGUAUGUGCCCGAAAGGGGAAAGAUUUAUCGCCAUUGGAUGAGCCCGCGUCGGAUUAGCUAGUUGGUGGGGUAACGGCCCACCAAGGCAACGAUCCGUAGCUGGUCUGAGAGGAUGAUCAGCCACACUGGGACUGAGACACGGCCCAGACUCCUACGGGAGGCAGCAGUGGGGAAUAUUGGACAAUGGGCGCAAGCCUGAUCCAGCCAUGCCGCGUGAGUGAUGAAGGCCCUAGGUUGUAAAGCUCUUUCGACGGGGACGAUAAUGACGGUACCCGUAGAAGAAGCCCGGCUAACUCGUGCCAGCAGCCGC
rnacentral:rRNA from 1 species